rnacentral:tRNA from 1 species
GGCGCGGUGGACGUAUUGGUAGAGUCGCCCGGCUUUCACCCGGGACAUGUGCGGGUUCGAGUCCCGUCCGCGCUG